AUUGAACGCUAGCGGCAGGCCUAACACAUGCAAGUCGAGCGGAGAGGCGGACGGGUGAGUAAUUCCUAGGAAUCUGCCUGGUAGUGGGGGAUAACGUCCGGAAACGGGAGCUAAUACCGCAUACUAUACGAUCAGUCUAAGGCGGAUUAGCUAGUGGGGGGGGUAAAGGCAUACAAAGUCGACGAACCGUAACUGGUCUGAGAGGAUGAUCAGUCACACUGGAACUGAGACACGGUCCAGCAUCCUACGGGAGGCAGCAGUGGGGAAUAUUGGACAAUGGGCGAAAGCCUGAUCCAGCCAUGCCGCGUGUGUGAAGAAGGUCUUCGGAUUGUAAAGCACUUUAAGUUGGGAGGCGUUACCAACAGAAUAAGCACCGGCUAACUUCGUGCCAGCAGCCGCGGUAAUAC
rnacentral:rRNA from 1 species